rnacentral:rRNA from 1 species
UACGUAGGGCGCAAGCGUUGUCCGGAAUUAUUGGGCGUAAAGAGCUCGUAGGCGGCUCGUCGCGUCGACCGUGAAAACCAGCAGCUUAACUGCUGGCUUGCGGUUGAUACGGGCGGGCUAGAGUUCGGUAGGGGAGACUGGAAUUCCUGGUGUAGCGGUGAAAUGCGCAGAUAUCAGGAGGAACACCGGUGGCGAAGGCGGGUCUCUGGGCCGAUACUGACGCUGAGGAGCGAAAGCGUGGGGAGCAAACAGG